GCACAACGCGAAGAACCUUACCAGGUCUUGACAUCCUGCUGACCACCCUAGAGAUAGGGCUUCCCUUCGGGGCAGCGGUGACAGGUGGUGCAUGGUUGUCGUCAGCUCGUGUCGUGAGAUGUUGGGUUAAGUCCCGCAACGAGCGCAACCCUUAUCUUUAGUUGCCAGCAUUCAGUUGGGCACUCUAGAGAGACUGCCGUCGACAAGACGGAGGAAGGCGGGGAUGACGUCAAAUCAUCAUGCCCCUUAUGACCUGGGCUACACACGUGCUACAAUGGCUGGUACAACGGGACGCAAGCCCGCGAGGGUAAGCCAAUCUCUUAAAACCAGUCUCAGUUCGGAUUGUAGUCUGCAACUCGACUACAUGAAGCUGGAAUCGCUAGUAAUCGCGAAUCAGAAUGUCGCGGUGAAUACGUUCCCGGGUCUUGUACACACCG
rnacentral:rRNA from 1 species